GUGAAGACAUGGUCGCCGGCGGGAAGGCUAUUUCAGGUAGAAACAAGGUUCAGCAGCAAGGCUGAUUCCGAACUUUCUUCUCACCAGAAGAAGAUUUUCAAAGUUGAUCAUCUUUAUCGGUGUCGCAAUAGCUGGAAUCACCGCCGGUCGGCCGUGUGCUUUCUAGGUAUAUGUUUUCGGAGUAUAUCAAUUAUGGUUAUUCUUA
rnacentral:misc_RNA from 1 species